rnacentral:rRNA from 1 species
GAUGAACGCUGGCGGCGUGCCUAAUACAUGCAAGUCGAACGAACAGACGAGGAUCUUUCUCCUCUGACGUUAGCGGCGGACGGGUGAGUAACACGUGGAUUACCUACCUCUCUGACUGGGAUAACUUCGGCAAACCGUAGCUAAUACCGGAUAAUAUAUCGAACCGCAUGGUUCAGUAGUGAUAUACGGUUUUUCUGUCACUUAUAGAUGUAUCCGCGCCGCAUUAGUUAGUUGGUAAGGUAACGGCUUACCAAGGCGACGAUGCGUAGCCGACCUGAGAGGGUGAACGCCGACAGAGGAGGUGAGACACGGCCCAGAGACUGACGGGAGGCAGCGGCAGGGAAUGUACGGAAAAGGGGGAAAGCCUGAAGGAGCAACGCAGGGUGAGUGAAGAAGGGCUGCGGAUGGUAAAACGGUGUUAUUAGGGAAGAACAAAUGUGUAAGUAACGAUGCAAGUGUGAAGGUAACCGAAGAAGAAGACCCGGCUUACUUCGGU